rnacentral:lncRNA from 1 species
AGGAGCUGGCGCGGCGGCCACGGGCGCCCAGCGCGCCUUCUCGGCGCCUGGAGCCAGACGCGAGUAAUCCUGGGUGGCCCGCAGCGGAGCCGUGGCCGGGCUAGAGGAGCCGGCUGGACUGCGGGAGUGCCGGGCGGCUCGCGGUGUCCGCCUCGGGCUGCUCCCCUGCGCUGCGUUCUCGCGGCCCCGCGCCGGCGCUGCGCUCUGCGAUGCGAGCCGCUGCGUGUCCAGCCGGGGCUCUGGCGAGGAAACUCACUUCAAAAGCAGCUGCACCAAGGGGGAGAUUAAAGCCUUUGCCGCCUUCCAAUCAAAUGGGAGCCCGAGGUGAUUGGAGGGUCAAGGGGAUGUGACGCGUCCCGCGCCGCCGCCGCCGCCGCUGCCAGGACUCUCAGUGCCGGUUUUAAUGGGCAGCUCCCUCUUCGCCGCCCCCCUGUGUGUCCCCUCCCUCGAUUUCGCUGGGAGGACGAGAUGGACAUUUAUUCUACGUUUGCCAUCCGCCGCCUCCCUCUUUUUUCCUCCUCGUCGUUCUUCCUUUCCCCAGCUCGAAAAUAAACUGAAACCUUCUUUUGAAGGGGGGUGCGCGUGAGGAACAGACUGCGGGGGGUGUCCAGAAGGAGCACCGGUGGGAGUGUGGACACCGGCCGGACUGUCAACUCCAGGGGCGAAGGGAACCUGCACACCCAGUGUUUUUUCCUUCGCAGUAAUCGAGAUCCCGCGCGGCGCAGCGCAGCCACCAGGAAUCGACGGGAUUUCUCUGGCUGUCGUUUGCGCUGCAUUUAUCCGAAUACAUCCAGCUCGCAGGCAUCCUGCAAGAAACGGCUCCCGGCUCGCGUGUACGCCGACACCUCGGCCCAACGCAGGACUCGAGGUGGUUUCUAGUGCCCGGGUGGCUGCAAGUCUGCCCUCCGAGGGAGGCUGGACAAGCGGCGCCCCCAGGUCGAGCGGCCUCUCGCUGCCUGGCAGUGCCUGGCAGCCCCCACCUCUGCCAGUGCUUCGGAAACCCGCCUGGCCAGGUUCGCCCGCGGUGAAAAAUGAAAGCAAAUUCCCCAACAGAGGUAGCCGGAACUUUCCUCGACGAAGGCUCCCUCCUGCGCCUGUGUCUGGAGAACCCCCAGAGCGCUGCAAGUUAGCAAGAGAGAUUCGAUGGCGGCUCUGGAAGGCGCACGAAGGGUGGGGCGGGGGAGCAAAGAGGCCACUGGGUGACCCAGCCUGGUCCGGGGUGAAACGCUAGAGAAGGCGCCUCGCCUUCCUUAUUUCAAUGCAACUCCUCGGCCCCAGACGGUAAAAAUAGUUUCCAAGCUGCCGCGGACGCCCAGGAUGUGUUUGCAGAGAUCAAACUGGGGAGGAGGCAGCUUUGUAAAAGUUGCAGAAAGAUUAGCCGAGAAGCGUCCGCCCGGCGGGGCUCAAGAAAGCUUGGGGACAGCU